AACGAACGCUGGCGGCAGGCUUAACACAUGCAAGUCGAACGCACCUUUCGGGGUGAGUGGCUGACGGGUGAGUAACGCGUGGGAAUCUACCCUUCUCUACGGGAUAGCUCCGGGAAACUGGAAUUAAUACCGUAUACGUCCUGAGGGAGAAAGAUUUAUCGGGGAAGGAUGAGCCCGCGUUGGCUUAGCUAGUUGGUGGGGUAAAGGCCUACCAAGGCGACGAUCCAUAGCUGGUCUAAGAGGAUGAUCAGCCACAUUGGGACUGAGACACGGCCCAAACUCCUACGGGAGGCAGCAGUGGGGAAUAUUGGACAAUGGGCGCAAGCCUGAUCCAGCCAUGCCGCGUGAGUGAUGAAGGCCCUAGGGUUGUAAAGCUCUUUCAGUGGGGACGAUAAUGACGGUACCCACAGAAGAAGCCCCGGCUAACUUCGUG
rnacentral:rRNA from 1 species